rnacentral:rRNA from 1 species
GAAAGCGUGGGGAGCGAACGGGAUUACAUACCCCGGUAGUCCACGCCGUAAGCGAUGUCUACUAGGUUGUGGUUGUUCUGACACACUCACAGCCGAAGCAAAAGUGUUAAGUAGACCGCCUGGGGAGUACGGUCGCAAGGCUAAAACUCAAAGGAAUUGACGGGGGCUCACACAAGCGGUGGAGCAUGUGGAUUAAUUCGAAGCAACGCGCAGAACCUUACCUGGGUUUGACAUGUAUGGAUGCCUGUCUGGAAACAGAUUCGGCUGCCCUCGGGUGAAACUUACACAGGUGCUGCAUGGCUGUCGUCAGCUCGUGUCGUGAGAUGUCGGGUUAAGUCCUUUAACGAGCGAAACCCUUGCCGUUAGUUGCCAGCGAGUAAUGUCGGGAACUCUAGUGGGACUGCCGGUGUCAAACCGGAGGAAGGCGGGGAUGACGUCAAGUCCUCAUGGCCUUUAUGCCCAGGGCUUCACACGUGCUACAAUGGUCACUACAGAGCGAAGCGAGACCGCGAGGUGGAGCAAAUCGCAAAAAAGUGGCCUCAGUUCGGAUUGCAGGCUGUCAACUCGCCUGCAUGAA